GAUGAACGCUGGCGGCGUGCCUAAUACAUGCAAGUCGAGCGUACGGACGAGAAGCUUGCUUCUCUGAUGUUAGCGGCGGACGGGUGAGUAACACGUGGAUAACCUACCUAUAAGACUGGGAUAACUUCGGGAAACCGGAGCUAAUACCGGAUAAUAUUUUGAACCGCAUGGUUCAAAAGUGAAAGACGGUCUUGCUGUCACUCAUAGAUGGAUCCGCGCUGCAUUAGCUAGUUGGUAAGGUAACGGCUUACCAAGGCAACGAUGCAUAGCCGACCUGAGAGGGUGAUCGGCCACACUGGAACUGAGACACGGUCCAGACUCCUACGGGAGGCAGCAGUAGGGAAUCUUCCGCAAUGGGCGAAAGCCUGACGGAGCAACGCCGCGUGAGUGAUGAAGGUCUUCGGAUCGUAAAACUCUGUUAUUAGGGAAGAACAUAUGUGUAAGUAACUGUGCACAUCUUGACGGUACCUAAUCAGAAAGCCACGGCUAACUACGUGCCAGCAGCCGCGGUAAUACGUAGGUGGCAAGCGUUAUCCGGAAUUAUUGGGCGUAAAGCGCGCGUAGGCGGUUUUUUAAGUCUGAUGUGAAAGCCCACGGCUCAACCGUGGAGGGUCAUUGGAAACUGGAAAACUUGAGUGCAGAAGAGGAAAGUGGAAUUCCAUGUGUAGCGGUGAAAUGCGCAGAGACAUGGAGGAACACCAGUGGCGAAGGCGACUUUCUGGUCUGUAACUGACGCUGAUGUGCGAAAGCGUGGGGAUCAAACAGGAUUAGAUACCCUGGUAGUCCACGCCGUAAACGAUGAGUGCUAAGUGUUAGGGGGUUUCCGCCCCUUAGUGCUGCAGCUAACGCAUUAAGCACUCCGCCUGGGGAGUACGACCGCAAGGUUGAAACUCAGAGGAAUUGACGGGGACCCGCACAAGCGGUGGAGCAUGUGGUUUAAUUCGAAGCAACGCGAAGAACCUUACCAAAUCUUGACAUCCUUUGACAACUCUAGAGAUAGAGCCUUCCCCUUCGGGGGACAAAGUGACAGGUGGUGCAUGGUUGUCGUCAGCUCGUGUCGUGAGAUGUUGGGUUAAGUCCCGCAACGAGCGCAACCCUUAAGCUUAGUUGCCAUCAUUAAGUUGGGCACUCUAAGUUGACUGCCGGUGACAAACCGGAGGAAGGUGGGGAUGACGUCAAAUCAUCAUGCCCCUUAUGAUUUGGGCUACACACGUGCUACAAUGGACAAUACAAAGGGCAGCGAGACCGCGAGGUCAAGCAAAUCCCAUAAAGUUGUUCUCAGUUCGGAUUGUAGUCUGCAACUCGACUACAUGAAGCUGGAAUCGCUAGUAAUCGUAGAUCAGCAUGCUACGGUGAAUACGUUCCCGGGUCU
rnacentral:rRNA from 1 species